AGGAUAAUAGUUAAAGUAAAAUAAUUUUUAAUUUGCAGUUAAAAGUUAUUCUUAAAGAAUUUAUCUUA
rnacentral:tRNA from 1 species